rnacentral:misc_RNA from 1 species
AACCUUAUGGACCUGCGGGCGUAUACCUGCGGAAGGAUCAUUACCGAGUGCGGGCCCUCGCGGCCCAACCUCCCACCCUUGUCUCUAUACACCUGUUGCUUUGGCGGGCCCACCGGGGCCACCUGGUCGCCGGGGGACGCACGUCUCCGGGCCCGCGCCCGCCGAAGCGCUCUGUGAACCCUGAUGAAGAUGGGCUGUCUGAGUACUGUGAAAAUUGUCAAAACUUUCAGCAAUGGAUCU